ACGUACACUCCUACGGGAGGCAGCAGUGGGGAAUAUUGGACAAUGGGCGCAAGCCUGAUCCAGCCAUGCCGCGUGAGUGAUGAAGGCCCUAGGGUUGUAAAGCUCUUUCACCGGUGAAGAUAAUGACGGUAACCGGAGAAGAAGCCCCGGCUAACUUCGUGCCAGCAGCCGCGGUAAUACGAAGGGGGCUAGCGUUGUUCGGAUUUACUGGGCGUAAAGCGCACGUAGGCGGACUAUUAAGUCAGGGGUGAAAUCCCGGGGCUCAACCCCGGAACUGCCUUUGAUACUGGUAGUCUUGAGGUCGAGAGAGGUGAGUGGAAUUCCGAGUGUAGAGGUGAAAUUCGUAGAUAUUCGGAGGAACACCAGUGGCGAAGGCGGCUCACUGGCUCGAUACUGACGCUGAGGUGCGAAAGCGUGGGGAGCAAACAGGAUUAGAUACCCCGGUAGUCCCAUGAU
rnacentral:rRNA from 1 species